GUGGGGAAUUUUGGACAAUGGGCGCAAGCCUGAUCCAGCAAUGCCGCGUGCAGGAAGAAGGCCUUCGGGUUGUAAACUGCUUUUGUACGGAACGAAACGGCUCUGGUUAAUACCCGGGGCUAAUGACGGUACCGUAAGAAUAAGCACCGGCUAACUACGUGCCAGCAGCCGCGGUAAUACGUAGGGUGCAAGCGUUAAUCGGAAUUACUGGGCGUAAAGCGUGCGCAGGCGGUUGUGUAAGACAGGCGUGAAAUCCCCGGGCUCAACCUGGGAAUUGCGCUUGUGACUGCACAGCUGGAGUGCGGCAGAGGGGGAUGGAAUUCCGCGUGUAGCAGUGAAAUGCGUAGAUAUGCGGAGGAACACCGAUGGCGAAGGCAAUCCCCUGGGCCUGCACUGACGCUCAUGCACGAAAGCGUGGGGAGCAAACAGGAUUAGAUACCCUGGUAGUCC
rnacentral:rRNA from 1 species